rnacentral:rRNA from 1 species
GAGUGGCGAACGGGUGAGUAACGCGUGAGGAACCUGCCUCAAAGAGGGGGACAACAGUUGGAAACGACUCUAAUACCGCAUAAGCCCACGGUGCCGCAUGGCACAGAGGGAAAAGGAGCAAUCCGCUUUGAGAUGGCCUCGCGUCCGAUUAGCUAGUUGGUGAGGUAAUGGCCCACCAAGGCGACGAUCGGUAGCCGGACUGAGAGGUUGAACGCCACAUUGGGACUGAGACACGGCCCAGACUCCUACGGGAGGCAGCAGUGGGGAAUAUUGCACAAUGGGGGAACCCUGAUGCAGCGACGCCGCGUGAGCGAAGAAGUAUUUCGGUAUGUAAAGCUCUAUCAGCAGGGAAGAAGAUGACGGUACCUGACUAAGAAGCACCGGCUAAAUACGUGCCUGCAGCCGCGGUAAUACGUAUGGUGCAAGCGUAUCCGGAUUUACUGGGUGUAAAGGGA